rnacentral:tRNA from 1 species
GGCGGUAGACAACGGUGAACAUCCUGCUGCCUUCACACGGCAGAGGUCGCUGGUUCGAGCCCAGCAUCGCCCA